rnacentral:rRNA from 1 species
UACAGAGGGUGCGAACGUUGCUCGGAAUUACUGGGCGUAAAGCGUGCGUAGGCGGUCUUUUAAGUCCGUUGUGAAAGCCCUGGGCUCAACCUGGGAAUGGCAGUGGAUACUGGAAGGCUGGAGUACGGUAGAGGAGGGUGGAAUUCCCGGUGUAGCGGUGAAAUGCGUAGAGAUCGGGAGGAACAUCAGUGGCGAAGGCGGCCCUCUGGACCAGUACUGACGCUGAGGCACGAAAGCGUGGGGAGCAAACAGG